CUGCCUGGCCGGUAGGGAAUUCCUUCUCUCUUUACUCUUGGUCCCACGCGCUGGUGGAGGCCUCCAGCAACCCCGCUGAGGUCUCAGUCUUCAGUGUGGCGCCCUAUGGGAGCCAAAGCAGAGGGGCUCUCAAUCUUGAGGCCAGGGGAACCGGCACUCCCACUCUGUCCACGAGAAGAGCCGAGGGGAGAUGCUGCCUAUCGCCCCACGCCUGCCUUCCUUCCCCUCCAGCCCGCAUUUCCACUCUUCAUUCCUCUCCUCCUCCGCACCACACCGCCCCGUCCCUGCUUCUUUCUCUUUUCCUUUCCUCCUCCCUCCCUUUGGCCUGGACAGUGCUGGACCAGGCCCGAGAGCAGGUGGAAUCUGCGCCGCGUCUCUCCGCUGUCGCGCCGAAGCGGCUCAGGAAAUGCGCCCUCCGCUGGCGCCGGGUCGCGGUUCUCGCCGCGUUAGUUUUUUUCUCACAGUUGUGGCCCGGUACGCCGCCUCGGGCGCUGGAGAUGCUCAGGCCUGCUCUUUCUGAAGCAGAGAGGGAGGAGGUUCUCAGCUUCAAGACCCGGGAGAGGGCUGGAGCCUCCUUUUGCCGGUACAUUAGCCCCUGGCCACCCGCCAGGCCGCCGCACACUGGACGCCUUCUUCGCUCAAAGGCUCGGGUAGUUGGAGCGGCCUCGAUGGGGCCCUGGCCUCACCUCUCCGCUGCCCCUCCCGGGCCUUCCCAGGGGCCAGCUGACCUCCCCCGAAUGUUACGUCGAGGACCCUGCUGGAUUUGGAGCGGGGAUACAGGGCUGCCAGUCCCUUGCCAAGCCAUCAUCUCGGGGCUCUCAGUCUUUCUUAGCUGAUGUUCCCCCAGCCUUCUCCCUGGGUUACGUCUCUCCCCACCAUUCUGUCUCUAUCUCUGGCGGGGCUGCCUCAGUCUCUCUGUGUCUCUCAGUCUCUGUCUCUCUUGUUUGUUUCAAUGCGCGGACACUGAUUGCGCCUUAUGAAGUUCUAACUGGUUUUGUGUCAGGAAGAUCUUUCUCGCUGCUACCCAGCCUGGCGUGACGGAUUAAACAUCAACUAGUUAAAUAAAAAUUAAUAUCAACUGCCUCCUAA